rnacentral:rRNA from 1 species
GACGAACGCUGGCGGCGUGCUUAACGCAUGCAAGUCGAACGGAAAGGCCCUGCUUUUGUGGGGUGCUCGAGUGGCGAACGGGUGAGUAACACGUGAGUAACCUGCCCUUGACUUUGGGAUAACUUCAGGAAACUGGGGCUAAUACCGGAUAGGAGCUCCUGCUGCAUGGUGGGGGUUGGAAAGUUUCGGCGGUUGGGGAUGGACUCGCGGCUUAUCAGCCUGUUGGUGGGGUAGUGGCUUACCAAGGCUUUGACGGGUAGCCGGCCUGAGAGGGUGACCGGCCACAUUGGGACUGAGAUACGGCCCAGACUCCUACGGGAGGCAGCAGUGGGGAAUAUUGCACAAUGGGCGGAAGCCUGAUGCAGCAACGCCGCGUGCGGGAUGACGGCCUUCGGGUUGUAAACCGCUUUCGCCUGUGACGAAGCGUGAGUGACGGUAAUGGGUAAAGAAGCACCGGCUAACUACGUG